GGAGAGGUGGCUGAGUGGCCGAAAGCACCGGUUUGCUAAAUCGGCGUACGAGUAACAUCGUACCGCGGGUUCGAAUCCCGCCCUCUCCG
rnacentral:tRNA from 4 species